UUUUACGACUUCGGGUUUGUUCUUAAAUUCAAUCUGGAGUGCAGGAGUGCUCAUAAAUUCAGAGCGUUGUCGUUGUCAGAUUAUCCGUUUGUAAAUUCAGAGUGCACACUGGAUGCUCGGCCGGAUGAAUAGGGUCGAUUUGAGCGUACUGACCAUACAACAGCAGUCAAGAGCCCAAGCUAACGUUGACUAGCUACUUCCAGAAACGAGACCACUCUGACCAUUUUACUCACCCUAGCAGAGCUGGUCAGGCAGUUUUCAUGUUAUCUGGAGCGUUGGCCCUCCAUUCCCAAACCUGAAGCCCCCUGUCCCCAGCAGGAAAGACCAGGAAAAAAUGUUGGCUUAAGAUCUGCCAACCAGGCUCGGUGUGUGACAGGUAACAAUGUUUCAACCAAGCUGUUCCAGGCCUGGAGUGGCACGCUGGAACUUCCAGAGGCUUGUAGACCUGAAGCAGUGUGAUGUGGUCCAG
rnacentral:lncRNA from 1 species